rnacentral:rRNA from 1 species
UACGUAGGGUGCGAGCGUUAAUCGGAAUUACUGGGCGUAAAGCGUGCGCAGGCGGCUUUGCAAGACAGAUGUGAAAUCCCCGGGCUUAACCUGGGAACUGCAUUUGUGACUGCAUGGCUGGAGUGCGGCAGAGGGGGAUGGAAUUCCGCGUGUAGCAGUGAAAUGCGUAGGUAUGCGGAGGAACACCGAUGGCGAAGGCAAUCCCCUGGGCCUGCACUGACGCUCAUGCACGAAAGCGUGGGGAGCAAACAGG